rnacentral:tRNA from 1 species
GCCCGUCUAGCUCAACCUGGCAGAGCAGCGGACUCUUAAUCCGUUGGUUCGGGGUUCGAAUCCCCGGGCGGGCACCA